rnacentral:misc_RNA from 1 species
CUUUGCAAAAAUUCUCACUUGGAUUGAGGAAUCUUCCUAGGUAUUUGAAAAACUAAAGGCAACCAUGACUACCACACCAGUGUUAGCACUUUCAGAUUUUUCUCAAUCUUUUACAAUUGAAUGUGAUGCUUCUAAUGAUGCUAUUGGUGCAGUUUUGUUGUAGCGCAACAAAUCCAUUGCUUACUUUAGCAGGGCUAUGGCAGCUCGGCAUAAGAGUUUGCCAGCUUAUGAGGAGCUAAUUGGUUUGGUUAAAGCCAUUAAACAUUGGCGUUCAUAUUUAUGGAGGAAGCACUUUGUGGUGCGUAAAAAUUUUUGUUAGAAUAGAAGAGCUUGAAUCCACCUCAACAACACUGGUUAGGGAAAAUAUUGGG